rnacentral:rRNA from 1 species
AUUGAACGCUGGCGGCAUGCUUUACACAUGCAAGUCGAACGGUAACAGGCCGCAAGGUGCUGACGAGUGGCGAACGGGUGAGUAAUGCAUCGGAACGUGCCCAGUCGUGGGGGAUAACGCAGCGAAAGCUGUGCUAAUACCGCAUACGAUCUAUGGAUGAAAGCGGGGGACCGUAAGGCCUCGCGCGAUUGGAGCGGCCGAUGUCAGAUUAGGUAGUUGGUGGGGUAAAGGCCUACCAAGCCGACGAUCUGUAGCUGGUCUGAGAGGACGACCAGCCACACUGGGACUGAGACACGGCCCAGACUCCUACGGGAGGCAGCAGUGGGGAAUUUUGGACAAUGGGCGCAAGCCUGAUCCAGCAAUGCCGCGUGCAGGAAGAAGGCCUUCGGGUUGUAAACUGCUUUUGUACGGAACGAAACGGUCUGGGUUAAUACCCUGGGCUAAUGACGGUACCUUGCGAGAAAGCCACGGCUAACUACGUGCCAGCCGCCGCCGUAAAAC